GCGCCCGUAGCUCAGAUGGAUAGAGCAACAGCCUUCUAAGCUGUGGGUCGGUGGUUCGAGUCCACCCGGGCGCA
rnacentral:tRNA from 1 species